GCCCUGGUAGCUUAAACAACAAAGCACCGGUCUUGUAACCCGGAGAUUGGAGAUUGAACUUCUCCCCAGCGCA
rnacentral:tRNA from 1 species